UACCCGACUCAGAUCAGAUGAGAUUACCCGCUGAACUUAAGCAUAUCAUUAAGCGGAGGAAAAGAAACUAACAAGGAUUUCCCUUAGUAGUGCGAACGACCGGGAAUUAGCCAGCACUGAAUCCUGUAUCUUUGAUACUAGGAGUUGUGGUGUACAGGUUGUGUUUUUAAUGGUUGAGUAUACUCCAAAUUCACUUGAUUGUGAUGUUUGUCCAUAGAGGGUGUUAGACCCGUUGGAGUAUACAAGGCUGUUAUUGACACUUCCUAUGAGUUCGGAUUGUUUGAGAAUGCAGUCCAAAUUGGGUGGUAAACUCCAUCUAAGGCUAAAUACUGUGCGAGUCCGAUAAGUAAACAAGUACCGUGAGGGAAAGUUGAAAAGAACUUUGAAAGAGAGAGUUAAAUAGUACGUGAAAUCGCUUAGAGGUAAACGAGUGGAGCCGAAGCUGAUGUAUGGGAUUCAGUUGAUUGUGUGUUAUCUUGUCUUUAAUUGAAAUCUCUCAAGGAUUCUCUAGAGAUGAGCUCGUAAUAUGCGAUCAAUGCACUUUCUAUGCAUCAAAACUGCGACCAAUAGAGCUGUUUUUCUGUCGUGUUGAUAAAGGUGACCAGUUCUUGUUCGAAUCGGUUUAUAGUUCAAUGCACGGUUAAACAUAGUGUAUUGGUGAUUGCGAUUUGCUAAUUUUAGUGAUUGUCAAUGCUGAUUGUUUGAUGGUUAGCUCGAAACGAGAUAGCUGUUGAAUGGUUGGUGUAGAUGAUUGCUAAAGGGUAAAUCUAUAGUCUGCAGUGUAUAUGUAGGUUACCUGCCUCGUCCGUCUUGAAACACGGACCAAAGGAGUUUUAUAUGAUCGCGAGUCAAAGGGCUUUACGAAACCCAUGGCGAAAUUAAUGUAAAGGCUUGCUUCGUAAGCUGUGAUGUGACCUCGUGGAAACACAGAGUGCAACAUCGACCCGUCUAAAGAUGUUCGCAUCUGGGCGGAGUUUGAGCGAUCAUGUAGAGAACCCGAAAGAUGGUGAACUAUGCUUGUGCAGGUUGAAGUCAGAGGAAACUCUGAUGGAGGACCGCCGCGGUUCUGACGUGCAAAUCGAUCGUCGGACAUGAGUAUAGGGGCGAAAAGACUAAUCGAACCAUCUAGUAGCUGGUUCCCUUCCGAAGUUUCCCUCAGGAUAGCUGGCAUUUGUGAUGUAGUUUUACCUGGUAAAGCGAAUGAUUAGAAGUAUUGGGGACGAAAUGUUCUCAACUUAUUCUCAAACUUAAAUGGGUUCGAAGUAUGUCUCUCUUAUUGGAGAUGUACAUCGAAUACGAAAUGCCUAGUGGGCCAUUUUUGGGGUAAGCAGAACUGGCGAUGUGGGAUGAACCAAACAUCUGGUAAGGUGCCUAACAUCACGCUCAUGAGAAACCACAAAAGGUGUUGGUUGAUAAAGACAGCAGGACGGUGGACAUGGAAGUCGUCAUCCGCUAAGGAGUGUGUAACAACUCACCUGCCGAAUCAACCAGCCCUGAAAAUGGAUGGCGCUGUAGCGUGGACCUAUACCGGAUCGAUGUCGUAAGUUGGUGUUUACACCGAACGAGUAUGCGAUAUCGUGUAGGAGGGUGCCGUGGUUGCUAAGAAGCUACUGGCGUGAGUCAAGAGUGGAGCGGUCACGGGUACAGAUCUUGGUAAGUAGUAGCAAUUAUUCAAGUGAGAUCCUUGAAGACUGAAGUGGAGAAGGUUCCCAUGUGAACAGUAUUUGAACAUGGGUUAGUCGGUCCUAAGCGAUCUGGUAACUCAGUUAUCAGAUGGAGGUGAUAGACGUCUAUUAAUUGAUAGUUGUCUAGUUAUUGAUUCAAUAGCCCUGAAGCGAAAGGGAAUCAGGUUAACAUUCCUGAACUUGAAUACGGAAAUUUGGUUGUUUCGGCAAACAAGGUGGUAACACAAGCGAUCUCAGAGACGUCAUCAAGUGUUUCGGGAAGAGUUCUCUUUCUUUGUAUACAUAAAACAUGUCCCUAGAAUCAGGUAUCUGGAGAAAGGGAUGUGAAAUGUCAAAAGCACCGCGGUUCUUGUGGUGUCCGAAGCGCCCCUGAUGGCCCUUGAAAUCUGAGGGAGCAGUUUAUAAAUUUUCGUUUCAAGCCGUACCGAUAUCCGCAGCAGGUCUCCAAGGUGAGCAGCCUAUAGUCUUAGAACAAUGUAGGUAAGGAAGUCGG
rnacentral:rRNA from 1 species